GGGAUUGUAGCUCAGUUGGUAGAGCAGUUGCCUCUUAAGCAAACGGUCCCGGGUUCAAAUCCCGGCAGUCCCA
rnacentral:tRNA from 1 species